CAAGUCGCGUGCGCAGUUCCGUAGCAAUACGGGAUGGGCGCACGGCGCACGGGUGCGUAACACGUGGGCAAUCUGCCCUCUGAUGGGGAAUAACCCGCCGAAAGGCGGGCUAAUUCCGCAUAAGAUUCCCGGAACUUCGGUUCUGGGAUUGAAAGCAGUAAUGCGUCGGAGGAGGAGCCCGCGCCCGAUUAGCUAGUUGGUGAGGUAACGGCUCACCAAGGCAAUGAUCGGUAGCUGGUCUGAGAGGAUGAUCAGCCACACUGGAACUGAGACACGGUCCAGACUCCUACGGGAGGCAGCAGUGGGGAAUCUUGCACAAUGGGCGAAAGCCUGAUGCAGCGACGCCGCGUGGGGGAUGAAGCAUUUCGGUGUGUAAACCCCUUUCGACUGGGAAGAAUGCCUCGCAAGAGGAGUGACGGUACCAGUAGAAGAAGCCCCGGCUAACUACGUGCCAGCAGCCGCGGUAAGACGUAGGGGGCCAGCGUUGUUCGGAAUUACUGGGUGUAAAGGGUUCGUAGGCGGUGCGGCAAGUUGGGAGUGAAAUCUCUGGGCUUAACCCAGAGGCUGCUUCCAAAACUGCUGUGCUCGAGUGUGAGAGAGGCUCGUGGAAUUGCAGGUGUAGCGGUGAAAUGCGUAGAUAUCUGCAGGAACACCCGUGGCGAAAGCGGCGAGCUGGAUCACUACUGACGCUGAGGAACGAAAGCUAGGGGAGCAAACAGGAUUAGAUACCCUGGUAGUCCUAGCCCUAAACGAUCAGGACUUGGGGUGCCGCCCGUUCGGGCGUCGUCCCGGAGCUAACGCGUUAAGUCCUGCACCUGGGGAGUACGGUCGCAAGACUGAAACUCAAAGGAAUUGAC
rnacentral:rRNA from 1 species